ACUCCUACGGGAGGCAGCAGUGGGGAAUAUUGCGCAAUGGGCGAAAGCCUGACGCAGCAACGCCGUGUGAGGGAUGAAGGCUUUCGGGUCGUAAACCUCUGUCAGAAGGGAAGAACGGGCAUUGGUCUAAUAGGCCUUUGUUUUGACGGUACCUUCAGAGGAAGCACCGGCUAACUCCGUGCCAGCAGCCGCGGUAAUACGGAGGGUGCAAGCGUUAUUCGGAAUUACUGGGCGUAAAGCGCACGUAGGCCGCUUUGUAAGUCAGGGGUGAAAUCCCACGGCUCAACCGUGGAACUGCCCUUGAAACUGCGAAGCUUGAAUCCUGGAGAGGGUGGCGGAAUUCCUGGUGUAGGAGUGAAAUCCGUAGAUAUCAGGAGGAACACCGGUGGCGAAGGCGGCCACCUGGACAGGCAUUGACGCUGAGGUGCGAAAGUGUGGGGAGCAAACAGGAUUAGAUACCCUGGUAGUC
rnacentral:rRNA from 1 species